rnacentral:rRNA from 1 species
GUGAAGCCCACCUCAAGAUGAGAUUUCCCAUUUCUUUAAGAAAGUAAGAUCCCUGAGAGAUGAUCAGGUAGAUAGGUCAGGAGUGGAAGUACAGUGAUGUAUGGAGCGGACUGAUACUAAUCGAUCGAGGACUUAACCA